AGUGAACGCUGGCGGUAGGCCUAACACAUGCAAGUCGAACGGCAGCACAGUAAGAGCUUGCUCUUACGGGUGGCGAGUGGCGGACGGGUGAGGAAUACAUCGGAAUCUACUUUUUCGUGGGGGAUAACGUAGGGAAACUUACGCUAAUACCGCAUACGACCUACGGGUGAAAGCAGGGGAUCUUCGGACCUUGCGCGAUUGAAUGAGCCGAUGUCGGAUUAGAUAGUUGGCGGGGUAAAGGCCCACCAAGGCGACGAUCCGUAGCUGGUCUGAGAGGAUGAUCAGCCACACUGGAACUGAGACAGGGUCCAGACUCCUACGGGAGGCAGCAGUGGGGAAUAUUGGGCAAUGGGCGCAAGCCUGAUACAGCCAUACCGCGUGGGUGAAGAAGGCCUUCGGGUUGUAAAGCCCUUUUGUUGGGAAAGAAAAGCAGCAGGUUAAUACCCCGCUGUUCUGACGGUACCCAAAGAAUAAGCACCGGCUAACUUCGUG
rnacentral:rRNA from 1 species